GACGAACGCUGGCGGCGUGCUUAACACAUGCAAGUCGAACGGAAAGGCCCCUUUGGGGGUACUCGAGUGGCGAACGGGUGAGUAACACGUGAGUAACCUGCCCUUUACUUCUGGAUAACUUCAGGAAACUGGGGCUAAUACCGGAUAGGAAUCCUUUCUUCAGUGUGGGGGUUGGAAAGCUUCUGCGGUUUUGGAUGGACUCGCGGCUUAUCAGCUUGUUGGUGGGGUAGUGGCUUACCAAGGCUUUGACGGGUAGCCGGCCUGAGAGGGCGAACGGCCACAUUGGGACUGAGAUACGGCCCAGACUCCUACGGGAGGCAGCAGUGGGGAAUAUUGCACAAUGGGCGGAAGCCUGAUGCAGCAACGCCGCGUGCGGGAUGACGGCCUUCGGGUUGUAAACCGCUUUCAGCAGGGGCGAAGCUUGUGGUGACGGUACCUGCAGAAGAAGCACCGGCUAACUACGUG
rnacentral:rRNA from 1 species